rnacentral:rRNA from 1 species
GAUGAACGCUGGCGGCGUGCCUAAUACAUGCAAGUCGAGCGAACGGACGAGAAGCUUGCUUUUCUGAUGUUAGCGGCGGACGGGUGAGUAACACGUGGAUAACCUACCUAAAAGACUGGGAUAACUUCGGGAAACCGGAGCUAAUACCGGAUAAUAUUUUGAACCGCAUGGUUCAAAAGUGAAAGACGGUCUUGCUGUCACUUAUAGAUGGAUCCGCGCUGCAUUAGCUAGUUGGUAAGGUAACGGCUUACCAAGGCAACGAUGCAUAGCCGACCUGAGAGGGUGAUCGGCCACACUGGAACUGAGACACGGUCCAGACUCCUACGGGAGGCAGCAGUAGGGAAUCUUCCGCAAUGGGCGAAAGCCUGACGGAGCAACGCCGCGUGAGUGAUGAAGGUCUUCGGAUCGUAAAACUCUGUUAUUAGGGAAGAACAUAUGUGUAAGUAACUGUGCACAUCUUGACGGUACCUAAUCAGAAAGCCACGGCUAACUACGUG